rnacentral:lncRNA from 1 species
CAGAGUGGUUACUGACACAAGAAUACUCUACCUAAGUGCACAAGUUUCUCCCUUGAAAAAAAAACAACUGUAAUUGUCACCGUUCAUUUACAAGACCUAGGAGAUCCCUCCUCUGGUGAGGAUCAAAAGGAAGACGGUCCUUGGUCAGUAAUAUCUGGAACAUUUAUGCACAUAUUCACUUUCCUAUUGCACCGUGGAUGCAUCCCUACUUAAUUCAUGAUGAACUAUGUAAAGUACUUAUUGACCACUGCAGGGAAGGAAUUGAACAGAGAAGAGAUCUGCAGCUCAUGAAGAUGGCAAUGAUCUGAUCUUUUGUCAUACUUUACAUGAAGCAUUUCCUGUUCUGACCUUCGAGCUUAGCAACAGCUUCUCAAAAGCAUUUAUAAAGUU